rnacentral:rRNA from 1 species
CAAUAGCGUAUAUUAAAGUUGUUGCGGUUAAAAAGCUCGUAGUUGGAUUUGUGGCGUACGACGGGCUCCGGGCACUUGUUGUCUGAGUAGCUUGUCGUUGCCAUCCUUGGGUGGAACCUGUGUGGCAUUAGGUUGUCGUGCAGGGGAUGCCCAUCUUUUACUGUGAAAAAAUUAGAGUGUUCAAAGCAGGCUUAUGCCGUUGAAUAUAUUAGCAUGGAAUAAUAAGAUAGGACUUUGUCGCUAUUUUGUUGGUUUGCGCGAUAAGGUAAUGAUUAAUAGGGACAGUUGGGGGUAUUCGUAUUCCAUUGUCAGAGGUGAAAUUCUUGGAUUUUUGGAAGACGAACUACUGCGAAAGCAUUUACCAAGGAUGUUUUCAUUA